AAGGUGGGUUUAUAGUUUAUCACAACCAGUUACAAAUUUAUUUGUUCCUUCUCCAUUCCCACUGCUUCAC
rnacentral:sRNA from 10 species